rnacentral:rRNA from 1 species
AUUGAACGCUGGCGGCAGGCCUAACACAUGCAAGUCGAACGGAGCGGCGGACGGGGGCGUGAGGCCUAGGAAUGUGCCUGGUAGUGGGGGAUAACGACCGGAAACGGGCGCUAAUACCACAUCCUAUCACAUGAAGCUAGGUCGGAUUAGCUAGUUGGUGGGGUAAAGGCAUACCAAGGCGACGAUCCGUAACUGGUCUGAGAGGAUGAUCAGUCACACUGGAACUGAGACACGGUCCAGACUCCUACGGGAGGCAGCAGUGGGGAAUAUUGGACAAUGGGCGAAAGCCUGAUCCAGCCAUGCCGCGUGUAUGAAGAAGGUCUUCGGAUUGUAAAGUACUUUAAGUUGGGAGGCGUUACCCGCAGAAUAAGCACCGGCUAACUUCGUGCCAGCAGCCGCGGUAAUUC